rnacentral:rRNA from 1 species
CCUACGGGGGGCAGCAGUGGGGAAUAUUGCACAAUGGGCGCAAGCCUGAUGCAGCCAUGCCGCGUGUGUGAAGAAGGCCUUCGGGUUGUAAAGCACUUUCAGCGGGGAGGAAGGCGUUAAGGUUAAUAACCUUGGCGAUUGACGUUACCCGCAGAAGAAGCACCGGCUAACUCCGUGCCAGCAGCCGCGGUAAUACGGAGGGUGCAAGCGUUAAUCGGAAUUACUGGGCGUAAAGCGCACGCAGGCGGUCUGUCAAGUCGGAUGUGAAAUCCCCGGGCUCAACCUGGGAACUGCAUUCGAAACUGGAGGGCUAGGGUCUUGGAGAGGGGGGUAGAAUUCCAGGUGUAGCGGUGAAAUGCGUAGAGAUCUGGAGGAAUACCGGUGGCGAAGGCGGCCCCCUGGACAAAGACUGACGCUCAGGUGCGAAAACGUGGGGAGCAAACAGGAUUAAUACCCUAGUAGUC